CCUACGGGAGGCAGCAGUGGGGGAUAUUGCACAAUGGGGGAAACCCUGAUGCAGCGACGCCGCGUGUGGGAAGAAGGUCCUCUGGAUUGUAAACCACUGUCCCCAGGGACGAAGAUGACGCUACCUGGGGAGGAAGCUGCGGCUAAGGACGUACCAGCAGCCGCGGUAAUACGUAGGGAGCGAGCGUUGUCCGGAAUUACUGGGGGUAAAGGGAGCGUAGGCGGGGAUGGAGGUUGGGUGUAAAAACUACCGGCUCAACUGGUAGUCGCACUCACAACUGCAGCUCUUGAGUGAAGUAGAGGCAGGCGGAAUUCGUGGUGUAGCGGUGAAAUGCGUAGAUAUACGGAGGAACCCCAGUGGCGAAGGCAGACUGCUGGACAGUAACUGACGCUGAGGCGCGAAGGCGCGGGGAGCAAACAGGAUUAGAUACCCCUGUAGUC
rnacentral:rRNA from 1 species